GAUCUAGGCAUUCAAGGAGAAAAAUUGCUUUCUUUCAAUUCCCAAUGGCAUCUGAUUUGGAAGCUGAUCAGAAAGGAGUUCAAGCUCUGAGGAUGUAUCAAUGACCACCUCAGGAAAGAGAGAGAGAGCAAGAACAAGCAGGGGGAGCGACAGGAGGAGGAGGAGAAGCAGGCUCCCUGGCAGGCUCCAUCCUUAGACGCUGGAAUCCUGACCUGAGCCGAAGGCAGACACUCAACCAACUGAGCCACCCAGGCGCCCUACGUAGUACAUAUUUGAAUAACUGUGCAUCUGAGGCAGGAAAGACCUUCCAUAUGCAUGUGAGGAGAGGCUGGAUGGAAGGCUAAUCUUUCCAACAAACUUGUUCUAAUGUUACCUGCUUAGAAAUGGUAUCAUUCUCCAGUUUUAAAAUUUUUCUUCAUUACUUUGUUGAACUGGAGUUCCUGCUCUUGUUCAAGAUGCUGCUAUGGUUUGGCUUUCCUCUAUUGCAAAUGCAUCAAUUUUCUGGAAAGCCCACUAGUGAGGAACUCUUCUUCCUUCUUGUGAUCCACAACACAGUAUCUUUCUCCUUCUGCAAAGGAGAAACUUGGCUUUCUAUUACUGUUGAUUAGUUUGUAUUUUCUAGAACUUCAUGUAAAUAGAAUCUCAGAGAAUAUAACUUUUGUGUAAGGCCUCUUUACUCACCAUGUUUUUGAGACUCAUUCCUGUUGUGUGUAUUGAUAGAUCAUUCCUUUUUAUUGCUGAAUAGUGUUUUGUUAUAUGGGAAUACCACAAUACUAUUAGUACACUUGGAAUUUCACCAAUAAAACAUUUGCAUACCUUUUUCUGUCUAAUGUAAACACCUAUGUAAUAUCCUUAUUGUACAAAGUCUAAAAUAUUUGCUACCAAGACCCUUAAAAAGUUUGCAGACCUCAAACUAGCUGAAUGGUUAUGAGUGGAGAGCUUGCUAGAAAUGCAGAAUAACAAAAAAUACCCUAUAACUAUUGAAUCAGAAAUUGGAUUUUACCAAAAUCCCUAGAUAAUUCAUAUCAAAGUCUGAGAAGCCCUGUUGUUUUACUUUUCUUACAAAAAAAAAAAAAAAAGACAUAUCCAUGUCUUUCAGAAAA